UACGUAGGUGGCAAGCGUUGUCCGGAUUUAUUGGGUUUAAAGGGUGCGUAGGCGGCCCUGUAAGUCAGUGGUGAAAUUCUUGAGCUUAACUGAAGGAUUGCCAUUGAUACUGUAGGGCUUGAGUACAGAUGAGGUAGGCGGAAUUGAUGGUGUAGCGGUGAAAUGCAUAGAUACCAUCAAGAACACCGAUUGCGAAGGCAGCUUACUAAGCUGUAACUGACGCUGAUGCACGAAAGCGUGGGGAUCGAACAGG
rnacentral:rRNA from 1 species